GUCAUAUGCUUUUAACAAAUAUGGAAUGCUAAGGAUAUCAUUUUUUAAAAAGAUUACUGAGAUCAACUACAGUUAUAAAAUAAAAUAUUGAUUUCUUUGUAUUCAACUAAAAAUAAAUAAAUUUGCUGAUUUGAAGUUCGGCCAAAAAAAAAGUAUGUGUGUUAACUGUACCCCUAUUUUUGUUUUGGCCAUUUUUGAUAAAGCACUGUUACAGUCACGAUGUUGCUCCCAUAUACUCAAAGUAAAAAAAUAAAUUAAAUUAAAUUAAAAUCCCUAUCUAACUUCUUUUAAGCAUGUGACAGUAAACACACAUACUUUUUUGUUUGGCCUUGCAUUCACUUCAAUUAUCUCCCCUUGGAUUUAACACAUUUGUGCAAAUUAUUAUCUCCCCUGACCAAAUCAUAAAUUCUUUGAAUUGUAAAUAAAAACAUAAUUUUUGGCAUAUGUAAGAAUGUAAAACAGUGCAUUGAAAUUUGUUUAAUAAAGGCAACAUAAAUAAGUUCUUAGUUUAUUUCAACUUUUGUUAGAAAAAUGUGAACAAA
rnacentral:lncRNA from 1 species